rnacentral:rRNA from 1 species
CCUACGGGAGGCAGCAGUGAGGAAUAUUGGUCAAUGGGCGCGAGGCUGAACCAGCCAAGUAGCGUGAAGGAUGACUGCCCUACGGGUUGUAAACUUCUUUUAUAAAGGAAUAAAGUGAGGCACGUGUGCCUUUUUGUCUGUACUUUAUGAAUAAGGAUCGGCUAACUCCGUGCCAGCAGCCGCGGUAAUACGGAGGAUUCGAGCGUUAUCCGGAUUUAUUGGGUUUAAAGGGAGCGUAGAUGGGUUGUUAAGUCAGUUGUGAAAGUGUGUGGCUUAACCGUUAAAUUGCCAUUGAUACUGGCAGUCUUGAGUACAGUUGAGGUAGGCGGAAUACGUGGAGUAGCGGUGAAAUGCUUAGAUAUCACGUAGAACUCCGAUUGCGAAGGCAGCUUACCAGACUGCCACUGACACUGAUGCUCGAGAGCGUGGGUAUCGAACAGGAUUAGAUACCCCUGUAGUC